UAGUAUUCUUUUCUUUUCCCAACAGAGUA
rnacentral:piRNA from 1 species